rnacentral:pre_miRNA from 1 species
AUAUAAAUCAUCAUUGGAUCUUGUAAAAUUGUAGACUCUGAUUCAGUAGAACUGGUUUAAGGUCUGAAAGUCUGUAUUUCUUAAUAAACUCCCAGAAGAUACCAAU